UAACCUGCCCAAGAGAUCGGGAUAACACCUGGAAACAGAUGCUAAUACCGGAUAACAACAGAUGAUGCCUAUCAACUGUUUAAAAGAUGGUUCUGCUACCACUCUUGGAUGGACCUGCGGUGCAUUAGCUAGUUGGUAGGGUAACGGCCUACCAAGGCGAUGAUGCAUAGCCGAGUUGAGAGACUGAUCGGCCACAUUGGGACUGAGACACGGCCAAACUCCUACGGGAGGCAGCAGUG
rnacentral:rRNA from 1 species